GACAGAGGGUGCAAACGUUGUUCGGAAUUACUGGGCGUAAAGCGAGUGUAGGCGGUGAGAUAAGUCGGACGUGAAAGCCCGGGGCUCAACCUCGGAAGUGCGCUCGAUACUGUCUCGCUUGAGUGUCGGAGAGGUUGGUGGAAUUCUGGGUGUAGAGGUGAAAUUCGUAGAUAUCCAGAGGAACACCGGUGGCGAAGGCGGCCAACUGGACGACUACUGACGCUGAGACUCGAAAGUGUGGGGAGCAAACAGG
rnacentral:rRNA from 1 species